UACAGAGGUCCCAAGCGUUGUUCGGAUUCAUUGGGCGUAAAGGGUGCGUAGGCGGCGCGGUAAGUCGGGUGUGAAACCUCGGAGCUUAACUCCGAAACUGCAUUCGAUACUGCCGUGCUUGAGGACUGGAGAGGAGACUGGAAUUUACGGUGUAGCGGUGAAAUGCGUAGAUAUCGUAAGGAAGACCAGUGGCGAAGGCGGGUCUCUGGACAGUUCCUGACGCUGAGGCACGAAGGUCAGGGGAGCAAACGGG
rnacentral:rRNA from 1 species